CCCACUUCAAUUAUCAACAUUUCUUUCUAUGUUCAUAUGUUUCCAGUCGCAGCCCUAUAUAUAAUUCUCCUUUAUGUACUUCUGUUUUAGAUUACCCUUUUCUUGCCUUUUACAUGCUGUAACUGGGUCUCAUUCUCUACCAUCUUAAGCUCUGUUAUCCUUUCCCUGCCGAAAAGAAAAGCGAAAAACAAUAGAACUGGCGUUCAUGGUGCCGCUGCUGUCUAGGGUAACGAUACUAGAAAAUAAUACAAACGGUAGAAUAAAGAUCCAAGAAUCGCACCCUUAUCAACCUGAAUGUAUAGAACUGAACCCUUUUGGUUCCAAGGAGAUUAAAGCCACCUUGUACUUCCGCCGAGGCAUCGAGUCUGGAAGGCCAAUGGUCUUUAAAUUGUUCAUUGACGGAGUCUUAACGGAAAGGCACUUGGCACCUCAACACUUUAUCCAGUAUCUUAAAAUCUCCUUCUCCGUUGAUAAUAACAGUGGUCAGCUUAUCGUGAAAGGGAUCCGCCCAACCACCUUUACUUGCCACCUCCGCCGCCUACGCGGACUGGGCUUUCUCAUGGGCAGAGGUCGCCAAACAGGGGAAGAAGAGCUCAUCCAUUGAAAUUUUAAAAGUUUUAAAAGACUACACAAGGAAUUGAAGGCAAUCAUUUUGCUUAUGAUUCAUUGGCCAAAGAAGCAAUUAGAAGAUCACAAGAUGCUGUUGCUUGGUUACUUUGAGUUUAGCUAGUCUGCAGGCAGAGCGGAGCUCUUCGGCUUGUUUAAUUAGGAUUUGAAAUUGGACCUGCUUAUGUUGUUGGUGUUCUUUGUCUCUCAAAAGUGGGUCUAAGAAUUUCUUCCUCUUUUUGUUUUCUCAGUUUGCUGUAGUUUUGAUAGUCGAAACGGUUGUUUGAAGGUUCCAUUUGUUUUUUUUUUUUUUUUCUUUGUUUCGUAAUUUUCCUUGUUUUCAAGGAUUUUUUGUACUCCUUAUAUUAUAACUUGAUGAAUGGAAUUACAUUUU